ACACAUUACAUUUCAAGCUGUAACGACCAUAUUUCUCUUGGGUAAAAGACAUGAAGGGGUUCUGUUGGUUAAUAGUUCUCCUUCAAGUAUGAGCUGCAGGUUCCCAAGUAUGUUACAGACAGCAAUUGGCCUGUCUAACUGUUUGGAUCACUGGCAGCAGCCUGAUGCACAAUCCAUUAGAGGAGGGGUACGGACAGGCACUAAUUCAAAGUGGAG